CGGGGUGUAGCGCAGCCUGGUAGCGCACUUGCAUGGGGUGCAAGGGGUCGCGAGUUCGAAUCCCGCCACCCCGA
rfam:Rhizobacter sp. Root29 contig_19, whole genome shotgun sequence.